CUAUACAUGCAGUCGAGCGAACUGAUUAGAAGCUUGCUUCUAUGACGUUAGCGGCGGACGGGUGAGUAACACGUGGGCAACCUGCCUGUAAGACUGGGAUAACUUCGGGAAACCGAAGCUAAUACCGGAUAGGAUCUUCUCCUUCAUGGGAGAUGAUUGAAAGAUGGUUUCGGCUAUCACUUACAGAUGGGCCCGCGGUGCAUUAGCUAGUUGGUGAGGUAACGGCUCACCAAGGCAACGAUGCAUAGCCGACCUGAGAGGGUGAUCGGCCACACUGGGACUGAGACACGGCCCAGACUCCUACGGGAGGCAGCAGUAGGGAAUCUUCCGCAAUGGACGAAAGUCUGACGGAGCAACGCCGCGUGAGUGAUGAAGGCUUUCGGGUCGUAAAACUCUGUUGUUAGGGAAGAACAAGUACGAGAGUAACUGCUCGUACCUUGACGGUACCUAACCAGAAAGCCACGGCUAACUACGUGCCAGCAGCCGCGGUAAUACGUAGGUGGCAAGCGUUAUCCGGAAUUAUUGGGCGUAAAGCGCGCGCAGGCGGUUUCUUAAGUCUGAUGUGAAAGCCCACGGCUCAACCGUGGAGGGUCAUUGGAAACUGGGGAACUUGAGUGCA
rnacentral:rRNA from 1 species